GGUCUGCCGGCUGGGUCGUGUGAGUGCAGCGUGAUAGUCGAAUCAUCUUGAGUGGUGUGCCGUAGAGGGUGUGAGUCCCGUAGACGAAAUCAUUGCUGCCGCGCGUGGUGUUUCCCGAGUAGCACGGAGCCCGUGAAACUUCGUGUGAAUCUGCCAGGACCACCUGGUAAGCCUGAAUACUACCUGAUGACCGAUAGCGGACCAGUACCGUGAGGGAAAGGUGAAAAGCA
rnacentral:rRNA from 1 species